AAAUAGGUUCUUGUGGUGAGAGAGCUAACAUUCCAAAGCUGCAAAUCCGGUGAUUUAAUUUUCUCUUGCUGAGAUAUAUUAUUAUUAUCUCAUCUCCUUCUCUUCUGAUACUGUAGAGUGUAGAGAGAAGAUGAGUAUGGUGAGGCUUGUUGACAGAAGAUAGAGAGCACAGAUGAUGAUAUGCAUAUCACAUGAAACUCAUUUCACUGCAUUUCAUUCCUUUGUGCUCUCUAUUCUUCUGUCAUCACAUUCAGCCUCUCCUCAUAAUUCCUCUAUAUCUCUCUCUCCCCCCCCCUCCAGCUACAUCACCUCUUAAUUCAUGUUUUAAUUUUUCUCUGUCAAAGUUUUAUUAUUUCUCCUCUGAACCAAUCAUUUUAUUCUUUUUUUCAUUUUAUUUUAUUUCCUGCUAGUUCAUUUCACUAUCAGUACAUGUAUACAGGCGCAGUGACAAGCUAGAGAUCACAAGUCAGUUUGUUGAUGGUGUAUCUGAAGAACUGGGCAUAUGAGCAACUGAUGGGAGAGUCUGUGCAGCACUGAAUGAUUAGCAGGAGAGAGACUGAUCCACGACCACGCUUCAUCUUCUUUGUGGUAGGAAGAAAUCAGGGAAAUAGCAGAGAGUAGCUGAACAAAGCGAAUACAAUUAAUGGGUCCAACUGACCAUGAUACAACGAACGUGUGACAUAUACUUACUUAUUCAGGAUUCUUCCUCCAAGUUACUUUUGCCCCAACUUGUUCAUUAAUUUGCUAAGGUGAUCUCAAAAAUAUAUAUGCAGUCAGUUAAUAUAUAUAUAUAUAUAUAUAUUGUUCAGAUAACAGCAAAAGAGGUCGAAAACUUGUCACUGGGUGAUGAUUUGAUGUAUAAAUCCGGUCCUUCAAUGGUACAACUUGCAUUUUUAUUUUUAUUUUUAUCAACAAUCUGGUCCUUGAAAAUAUAGUAUUUACCGUGCGUGAACAGUACAGAAGAAUAAAAGUGAAAAAGGCGUGGUCCCUGUCAAUUAUUGGAAGUGUCAUAUGAAAGUGGGAAAAAUUUUGAAAUGGUUUACAAAUUACAACUGUGAGACAGUGGAAUCAAACAGACACAGAGGCUUCGUUUUCUAAGGGGUAACAUCCAAGAAGACAGAAACCGUUUCCUGUAAACAAUGCGAGCCACAUAAUUAUAAAAGCACAGCACGCAAGCAUAAAAGAAAAAUCACGUGUGGGGUAUUGCUGGUACUUGCAUGUUUGUGUGUCCAAGGGAAGAUUGAAGUGAAAGAAGAAAAUUAAGGUCCUCUAAUUUUCUAAACCAACUGGAUUGGAUCUUAAGAAGGACAGUCUGUUAAAUCCUGAACCCGAUCCAGGUCACACACACAAGACAUCUUCUAGUUGCUCGGCCUGUAAAUGAAAUGACAGAAGCCACUUAUCUGAUUUUAUUUUAUUUAGUUGGUCAGUAUGUAAUAUACAGUAACUAGAUAUAUGUCAUCUUUGUUUAAGCAUGACUGUCUUGGAAAAAUCAGCACGCAUGAGCUCAGAUAGAGCUUACAAGUACCUAAACUAGAGCCAUAAGUACCUUGUAGUAAUUGUCCCGCAGGAAACACACAAUUGAUACAUCUAUUUACAUGUGCUAAUUAAAUAUUAAAAGAAAAGAUUCACAUAUUAUUUUUUAAUUUUCAUUCAACAAACGGUAAUUAAGAUAUAUAUUUGAAGGCAUGGCUUGGACCCGCGAUGCGAGAAUUACAAGGAUGCAUGUCUUGAUGCCCACUUGAACAAAAGAUUCUUGGCAUUCACGUAUAAUUUUUACUGUUGAUAAUUUCACAAUUUUGUGGAUUUAUACUAAAAGAGAAUACAGAGCUAGAGAGUUGGGGAGAAGGUUUAGGCUGUUUUAUCACAAUCUUGCAUCAUACUCGAAUUAUAAAAUUAGAUAUUUUUUGGACUCACACCAAAUCUCGCAAUUAGACUUCCAUUUAUUCUCUCCAAACAUCAACAUUCUUUCUUUUUGGUAAUAUGUUAUACAUUACAGGUUGAGAUGUUGAUGAUCAGUAAUGUAACUUCUGGUUGUGUGUGGCUCGUUGAUUAUUUUGAAAAGAAGUCCAUUUUCAUUUUGGCAAA